rnacentral:rRNA from 1 species
UGGGGAAUUUUGCACAAUGGGGGAAACCCUGAUGCAGCGACGCCGCGUGAUUUAGAAGGCCUUCGGGUUGUAAAAAUCUUUUUUACGGGAUGAAAAUGACAGUACCGUAAGAAUAAGGUCCGGCUAAAUACGUGCCAGCAGCCGCGGUAAUACGUAUGGACCGAGCGUUGUCCGGAAUCAUUGGGCGUAAAGGGUACGUAGGCGGCCUAAUAAGUUAGAAGUGAAAGAAUAUAGCUCAACUAUAUAAAGCCUUUAAAACUGUUAGGCUUGAGAGAUGAAAGGGAAAGUGGAAUUCCUAGUGUAGCGGUGAAAUGCGCAGAUAUUAGGAAGAAUACCGGUGGCGAAGGCGACUUUCUGGUCAUCAUCUGACGCUGAGGUACGAAAGCGUGGGUAGCAAACAGG